rnacentral:lncRNA from 1 species
AUACUGUCUGAGGAAUAUAGUGUGAUUAUUUGGGUUUCUAAAGAAGAGAUUUUAACCAAGGAUAUUUUCUUUGCCAAACCUUAGUAAUGCCUCCUUCAUUGCAUCAUGAACCUGAGUGGUUUUCCAAACAAUACUGAAGUCCCAAUUCUACUGACUAACACAUAAAUUAUGUUUUUCUCUUCCUUGUGGAUUUAUUUGGAUUUAUAAAAGUAAAUCUCAAUCUGUAUAGCUACCCAUGGCUUUCCUCAGAACAUUCCCAAAUCUUAAAACCAUGAUUAUUGAUAUCCUAACUUAUAGAAGAAAAACUAGAUUAUAUACAAAAAAUAAAGUAAGUCUUUAAUACAAAGCAACACUUUUCAGUGUAUCAUAUCUAAAACUGCAAUAAUCUGGACACGGGCUAUCUAAAGGUAGAGCUACUAGUUGGCCAUUUGUUAUCCCCUUUAAGAACACCAUCCCCCUCUUUCCCUUCGGCGCGCCACUGAAGAUCCUGGUGUCGCCAUGGGCCGCCGCCCCGCCAGUUGUUACCGGUAUUGUAAGAACAAGCCGUACCCAAAGUCUCGCUUCUGCCGAGGUGUUCCUGAUGCCAAGAUUCGCAUCUUUGACCUAGGGCGGAAGAAGGCAAAAAGUGGAUGAGUUUCUGCUCUGUGGCCACAUGGUUUCAGAUGAAUAUGGCAGCUGUCCCGUGAAGGCCUGGAGGCUGCCCGAAUUUGUGCCAAUAAGCACAUGGUAAAAAGUUGCGGCAAGGAUGGCUUCCAUAAUCCGGGUGUGGCUCCACCCCUUCCACGUCAUCCGCAUCAACAAGAUGUUGUCCUGUGCUGGGGCUGACAGAUCCACAUCUCAAAGAAGUGGGGCUUCACCAAGUUCAAUGCUGAUGAAUUUGAAGACAUGGUGGCUGAAAAGCGGCUCAUCCCAGAUGGCUGUGGGGUCAAGUACAUCCCCAAUCGUGGUCCUCUGGACAAAUGGCGGGCCCUGCACUCAUGAGGGCUUCCAAUAUGCUGCCCCCCUCUUAAUACUCACCAAUAAAUUCUACUUCCUGUACACCUAAAAAAAAACAAAAACAAAAAACACCAUCCCCAAUCUUUGAUUUGAUACUUCUUGCGAUCAAACAACUAGCUCUUUGUGGUUUUCAAAGCUUCUUUAACUUCUCUUCUACACUGUCUCUGUUCUCUCUUUCUUGCAUAAAGCUCGCCAACUUGUUCCUGUGUCUUUUAGAUGGGUGGGUAACCCGAUGUGAUAACUUAAUUGGUGCCAUUGUGAUAAUGGUGAUUAUGAUUUAAUGGAGUAGGUUUCACAUAUAAUGCAAUUAUAAUACUUAAGCAUUUAAUGUCAUAACCCCAUAGGUUUAUUAAUUGUGAAAUUUUCAAGUAUUAGGUCAAGACAGUAGUGGAUAUUUUGAGACCACCAGGUACUUCUGUCAUACCAUAAUGCAAUAAGCUGCUUACUCAAGGCCAUAAUUACAAAAUUGUCAUCCCAUUCUUGCAUGACUAUUGAAAAGAAACCUUAAAGCAUACCAAAACAUCACUUUUUUUCAUAUUAUAUGGAUCCUUAGAACAUAUAAUAUAUAUUAUAUACAACAUAUAUUAUAUUAACAUAUAUACAACAUAUAUUAUAUAUUUAUUAUAUAUAAUAUAUUAACAUAUAUACAUAUAUUAACAUAUAUACAACAGAUAACAUAUAUUAUAUACAACAUAUAUAAUGUAUAACAUAUGAGCUAGGACACAUAUAUUCUUUUAUUAAUCAACAGCACGUGGCUUAAUUCUAAAUUGCUUCUGUUUCUCACUCUACACUAGAACCUUCCAUUUAUUGUUUUAUAAAUCUUUGGAUUGAAUUUCCUUCCUUCCUUCCUCCCUCCCUUCCUUCCUUCCCUCCCUCCCUCUCUCCCUCUUUCUUUCUUUCUUUCUCUCUCUCUCUCUCUCUCUCUCUCAUUCUUUCUCUUUUUUGAGACGAAGUUUCACGUUGUCCAGGCUGGAGUGCAAUGGCACCAUCUCGGCUCACUGCAACCUCCACCUCCCAGGUUCAAGUGAUUCUCCUGCCUCAGCCUCCUAAGUAGCUGGGAUUACAGGCGCUCGCCACCAUGCCUGGCUACUUUUUUGUAUUUUUCGUAGAGACAGGGUUUCACCAUGUUGGCCAGCUGGUCUUGAACUCCUGACCUCAGGUGAUCCACCAGCCUCAACCUCCCAAAGGGCUGGAAUUACAGGCGUUAGCCACCUUGCCCAGCCGCAUUUUCUUUCUUAAUUGUAUCUUUUGGUGAAAGUUUAAAUAAUAUUCUCCAUAAUUCAUUACUUAUUUAAAUUCUUACUUUUA